rnacentral:rRNA from 1 species
UUCGUGGUGAGAGCGGCGGACGGGUGAGUAAUGUCUGGGAAACUGCCUGAUGGAGGGGGAUAACUACUGGAAACGGUAGCUAAUACCGCAUAACGUCUUCGGACCAAAGAGGGGGACCUUCGGGCCUCUUGCCAUCAGAUGUGCCCAGAUGGGAUUAGCUAGUAGGUGAGGUAAUGGCUCACCUAGGCGACGAUCCCUAGCUGGUCUGAGAGGAUGACCAGCCACACUGGAACUGAGACACGGUCCAGACUCCUACGGGAGGCAGCAGUGGGGAAUAUUGCACAAUGGGCGCAAGCCUGAUGCAGCCAUGCCGCGUGUGUGAAGAAGGCCUUCGGGUUGUAAAGCACUUUCAGCGGGGAGGAAGGCGGUGAGGUUAAUAACCUCAUCGAUUGACGUUACCCGCAGAAGAAGCACCGGCUAACUCCGUGCCAGCAGCCGCGGUAAUACGGAGGGUGCAAGGGUUAAUCGGAAUGACUGGGCGUAAAGCGCACGCAGGCGGUUUGUUAAGUCAGAUGUGAAAUCCCCGAGCUUAACUUGGGAACUGCAUUUGAAACUGGCAAGCUAGAGUCUUGUAGAGGGGGGUAGAAUUCCAGGUGUAGCGGUGAAAUGCGUAGAGAUCUGGAGGAAUACCGGUGGCGAANGCGGCCCCCUGGACAAAGACUGACGCUCAUGUGCAAAAGCGUGGGGAGCAAACAGGAAUUU